UACGUAGGGUGCGAGCGUUGUCCGGAAUUAUUGGGCGUAAAGAGCUCGUAGGCGGUCUGUCGCGUCACUUGUGAAAUCUCCGGGCUUAACUCGGAACGGUCAAGUGAUACUGUCGGACUAGAGUACAGAAGGGGCAACUGGAAUUCUCGGUGUAGCGGUGAAAUGCGUAGAUAUCGAGAGGAACACCUGCGGCGAAGGCGGGUUGCUGGGCUGAUACUGACGCUGAGGCGCGAAAGCCAGGGGAGCGAACGGG
rnacentral:rRNA from 1 species